ensembl:lncRNA novel transcript
AUUUACAGAGGUAGGGAAAUCUGAAUAGCAGUUGCUUAUUGUUCUUAUUUUGUUUAGAAAUCAGGAGUGCCAUUUUGAACAGCCUGUAUUUGAGAUCCAAUGGGUAGGCGUUAAGUAGACAUUUGUAAACAUAGCUAUCUAACUCAGAGGAGAGGUCGGGCUGAUGAUGUGCUUUUAGGAGUCAUCAGAAUGUAGAUGAUAUUUAAAGCUGCAGAUUGUAUAUGUUCACUUGGAGAGAGUAUGUCGCCAAAGAAGAGGGCAGAGAAGAAGCAAUCGGCAAAGAAGACAGAAGGAAUAGGCAAGAGGUUGCAGGGAAACCAGGAGAAUUAGAAACUAAUAAUGAAUGAAUCAUCAUAUCGGAUAGUGUUACCAUCAAGAAUUUUUAAAAAGCCAUUUUUACCAAAGGAAAUAAACAAGACAGAAAUACAUUAAUUCUCAUUCCAGCAUGACAUGAGGAAGAAUGCUUACUGUUUGACAAAUUGAAAAACAAAGGAUCUUUGGAGAGAUAAAAAUGAAAUUUGUAACCUUCUAAGAGGAUGUGGGGUUUUUUUUUCCUCUCCUUUUUUUCUUCUCUACUCAUGCCUUGGAUUUUCUGCUUUCAUUCAUUUGUGACAGUGAACUCUAUUGAAAGUGACUUUUCCCUUUCUUCUUUUAAUAGAGAGAAGAGCUGGAGGUUACUAAGCCUCUGGGGUUCUCUGUGUCUUGAGCUAGAGAAGAGGUUCUUUGCUUGUUACCUGUAUGGGCUUCAGUGGGUUUAUGGAGUCCCUGAAAUCACAUGCAAAAUAUUGUGUGUGGGAAUGUGUGAGUGUUUUUUUUGGGAAGAGUUCCCCUAGUUUUCAUCAUUGACUCAGGAUGCUGUGACUCUGAAAGGGUAACAAACAUUGCUCUAAGAAAGAAAAAGCCCCUUUGAAUUGCAAUCCAGUCACCUGAGCACCAAAGCAGUCACACUGGCUUUAAAUCAAAAAGGUUGUUCGAGAGAAGACGCAUGGUUGGAGUCAACAUGCUAUUACUUGUUAUUAUAAACAACAAAUAGAUUGCUUUUGAGUACUGUACUAUAAAUAAUGCAUUUAAAGAGAACUUUAUUGUUUCCAAAUCACUUUUAUCUAUAUUUACUCAUUUAAAAAAUCACAAUAAUCCCCUGCUGAGGUUAGAUAUUAUAAUUAUUGUUAUCCCCAAUUUAGAGCUAAGCUCUGGGUGAUUGAAAGAUUCAGAGAUGAGCUCCUCUCUCAUAAAUGAUUGGACUCGAAGUGGGUAUCUGCCUCGAACUAGGUCAGAGGGUCCUCUAUGUGAAUCUAGAAUUGUGACCAAAACCCAAACUGUCUGCCCCACAGUGCUUGGAGAUGUUUGUCUUCUACCUAUUAUAAUCAGCAA